rnacentral:rRNA from 1 species
UACGUAGGGUGCGAGCGUUGUCCGGAUUUAUUGGGCGUAAAGAGCUCGUAGGCGGUUUGUCGCGUCGGCCGUGAAAUCUCCACGCUUAACGUGGAGCGUGCGGUCGAUACGGGCAGACUUGAGUUCGGUAGGGGAGACUGGAAUUCCUGGUGUAGCGGUGAAAUGCGCAGAUAUCAGGAGGAACACCGGUGGCGAAGGCGGGUCUCUGGGCCGAUACUGACGCUGAGGCGCGAAAGCCAGGGGAGCAAACGGG